rnacentral:rRNA from 1 species
AGUGAACGCUGGCGGUAGGCCUAACACAUGCGAGUCGAACGGCAGCACAGUAAGAGCUUGCUCUUACGGGUGGCGAGUGGCGGACGGGUGAGGAAUACAUCGGAAUCUACUUUUUCGUGGGGGAUAACGUAGGGAAACUUACGCUAAUACCGCAUACGACCUACGGGUGAAAGCAGGGGAUCUUCGGACCUUGCGCGAUUGAAUGAACCGAUGUCGGAUUAGCUAGUUGGCGGGGUAAAGGCCCACCAAGGCGACGAUCCGUAGCUGGUCUGAGAGGAUGAUCAGCCACACUGGAACUGAGACACGGUCCAGACUCCUACGGGAGGCAGCAGUGGGGAAUAUUGGACAAUGGGCGCAAGCCUGAUCCAGCCAUACCGCGUGGGUGAAGAAGGCCUUCGGGUUGUAAAGCCCUUUUGUUGGGAAAGAAAAGCAGCAGGUUAAUACCCCGCUGUUCUGACGGUACCCAAAGAAUAAGCACCGGCUAACUUCGUG